AAAUUACUCCCUCCGUCCGAAAAUACUUGUCAUUGAAAUGGAUGUAUCUAGAUGUAUUUUAGUUCUAGAUACAUUCAUUUUCAUCCAUUUUGAUGACAAGUAUUUCCGGACGGAGGGAGUACUAC
rnacentral:pre_miRNA from 1 species